rnacentral:lncRNA from 1 species
CUCCCAUCAGUUACUAGUGUUUAGAAGAUACUCGAGAAGAGAGAGGUAAUGAUGUAAAUCAGAACUUGGAUUUGGCUUUGUCAUUGUAUCUAUGAUGUUGUAGCACUAUUUUAUUUUUGUCUCUGGCCAAUGAUUUUGCAUUGGUACACUAAUACAGUACUAUGCCUUCUCAGAGUAGCGUUUAAUGCUGAUUGAAAAGGGUUCCCAUGGAAACAAAUUGCUUUGCUGUUAGACUAAAAGCUAAAAAGGUCUGUAGAAAAUGGGCAAAAAAAAUGUGGGCCAAAUUUAACUCAAACAAAUGGGCUAAAAAUAAGAAUACUAAAAUGCUAAAUGGGUUGAUAGAAAAAUAAAAAAACAGUGUCGGCUGAACCUUACUCCACUAAACAUGGGCUAAAAAUAAAAAUAUGAAAAGCUAAAUGGGCUAAAAACUACAAAACAAGUGGGCUAUUUUUUGUUCUGGCCUGCUAUAAGCCUGCCAGCCACAUGGGCC